rnacentral:pre_miRNA from 1 species
UGUUGCCACGAUCCAAGGAGGAACCGUGGCAAUAGAUGACCUCUAUUGCCACGGGCCAGGGAGGAACCGUGGCAAUAGAUGGCCUCUAUUGCCACGGUCCAGGUAGGAACCGUGGCAAUA